AGAAUCAACGCUGGCGGCGUGCCUAACACAUGCAAGUCGAACGAGAAAGUGGAGCAAUCCAUUAGUAAAGUGGCGCACGGGUGAGUAACACGUGACUAACCUACCCUUGAGUGGGGGAUAACCUAGAGAAAUCUGGGCUAAUACCGCAUAAUACCUUCGGGUCAAAGGAGCAAUUCGCUUUAGGAGGGGGUCGCGGCCGAUUAGUUAGUUGGCGGGGUAAUGGCCCACCAAGACUGUGAUCGGUAUCCGGCCUGAGAGGGCGCACGGACACACUGGAACUGAAACACGGUCCAGACUCCUACGGGAGGCAGCAGUGGGGAAUUUGCGCAAUGGGGGAAACCCUGACGCAGCAACGCCGCGUGGAGGAUGAAGCCCCUUGGGGCGUAAACUCCUUUCGAUCGGGAAGAUAAUGACGGUACCGAGAGAAGAAGCCCCGGCUAACUUCGUGCCAGCAGCCGC
rnacentral:rRNA from 1 species